UCCCUGAUGGUCUAGUGCUUAGGAUUGAACACUAUUAUUGCUGGGGCCUGGGUUUGAUUCCCAGUCAGGGAA
rnacentral:tRNA from 1 species